GGAAUCUACCCAGUUCUCUGGAAUAACUGAUGGAAACGUCAGCUAAUACCGGAUACGCCCUUUUGGGGAAAGAUUUAUCGGGAUUGGAUGAGCCCGCGUAAGAUUAGCUAGUUGGUGGGGUAAUGGCCUACCAAGGCGACGAUCUUUAGCUGGUCUGAGAGGAUGAUCAGCCACACUGGGACUGAGACACGGCCCAGACUCCUACGGGAGGCAGCAGUGGGGAAUAUUGGACAAUGGGGGCAACCCUGAUCCAGCCAUGCCGCGUGAGUGAUGAAGGCCUUAGGGUUGUAAAGCUCUUUCACCGGUGAAGAUAAUGACGGUAACCGGAGAAGAAGCCCCGGCUAACUUCGUGCCAGCAGCCGCGGUAAUACGAAGGGGGCUAGCGUUGUUCGGAAUUACUGGGCGUAAAGCGCACGUAGGCGGAUAUUUAAGUCAGGGGUGAAAUCCCGGAGCUCAACUCCGGAACUGCCUUUGAUACUGGAUAUCUAGAGACCGAGAGAGGUAAGUGGAACUCCUAGUGUAGAGGUGGAAUUCGUAGAUAUUAGGAAGAACACCAGUGGCGAAGGCGGCUUACUGGCUCGGAACUGACGC
rnacentral:rRNA from 1 species